CAACUGCUGUAAAUUUUUUACUCUGUUCACUCCAAGUGAUAAAUUGAUUUAUGUUACAUUUCUCAAUAACCUAUACGAUUAUUAAUCUUUGAAUUUAUUAGCCAGAAAGCGUAGAGGUUAUUGAGAAAUGUAAUAUAAAUCAAUUUAUCACUUGGAAUGAACAGAGUAAAAAAUUUACAGCAGUUGUGAUCCACGUACAAUAUUGGCAUUUGUAGUUGAACUAAGUAAGCUUUCGCCAGAGAUAACCUUUAGAAGCUGACAAGUACUUCACUUUUGGGAACACAAAACCAGCCCUUGGAGGGUUUCCAUCCACAAGCGAAUUCUCAUAAAUUUCUUUGCACUCUUGUGCGACCUGGUAAGGAAAUUGGGGUUGGUGGAACAAACGGAGGAGGAGGUGAAAAUGGGGGAGAACCUGGGCAAGGAUGCCCAGUAACUGGCCCACACAAAUCCAAAUUAUUAGCAAAACUGAUGGGAGUGAACAUUGAGAAGGAACCAUUAUCUGGAACAACGCCAGAGAGACGGUUGUUUGAUAGAUCCAACACUUGAAGUGAUGAAAUAUUAGUCAAUGGCAUAGGAAUGCGACCCGUCAAGCUGUUGUUGUUAAGCCGGAGAAAUCGUAAUUUUGACAGCUUGCCCAAACUUUCUGGGAUGGGACCAGUAAAACUAUUCAAGUAAAGAUCCAAGCUCACCAAGCUAGUCAAGUUACCAAGAUCACCAGGAAUUGGUCCGCUUAUGUUAUUACUGUAGAGCUCCAAGUAUUGCAAGUUUUUAAGCAGGCCAAGUUGCGGAACAAGCUGACCAGACAAAGCAGCAUUUCCAAGAUCAACUCUUAUAACACUAUUAUCAUUGUUGCAGGUGACAUGAAACCAUGUGCAAGGGUUGACAAGGGUAGGAUCCCAACUCUGCAGGACAUUGUUUGGAUCAAUCAAGUUGCUUCUCAGGCUGUGCAAAGCAUUACCUUCGGUAUNUUACCCAAAGCCAGCCAUAAUGGAUGCAGCAGAAAGAUCAGCCACACCCCAACCUUCCUCUCCAUCACCACUAAACAAACACGCACACUCCCCUCGAAACUUUAACUUCUCAAUCUCCUCAGAUCCAAACAACAGUACACCAAAACCCAGCUCACCAUCACCCAACAAAAGAAACAGAGAGAAGAAGAAGAAGAAGAAGAAGAAGAAGAAAGAAGAAAAACCAACGAAACCCUUUCUAAAAUCUCCAGAAUAACCCCACCAUUAUCUCCUAAAUUAUCUCCUUAAAAUCACAUCCCAAAAGCAACAAGGCCCCGAUCCCUCCCUCCUCUCUCAUUAACAUGCUCCAAAAAAUAGGAAAACUUAACAGAGAAAAAAAAUAGGGAAAAUGAGAACAACAAAACAGAAAGAAAUUCAAAACAUUUUUCAC
rnacentral:misc_RNA from 1 species